rnacentral:rRNA from 1 species
GACGAACGCUGGCGGCGUGCUUAACACAUGCAAGUCGAACGGAAAGACCCUGCUUUUGUGGGGUGCUCGAGUGGCGAACGGGUGAGUAACACGUGAGUAACCUGCCCUUGACUUUGGGAUAGCUUCAGGAAACUGGGGCUAAUACCGGAUAGGAGCUCCUGCUGCAUGGUGGGGGUUGGAAAGUUUCGGCGGUUGGGGAUGGACUCGCGGCUUAUCAGCUUGUUGGUGGGGUAGUGGCUUACCAAGGCUUUGACGGGUAGCCGGCCUGAGAGGGUGACCGGCCACAUUGGGACUGAGAUACGGCCCAGACUCCUACGGGAGGCAGCAGUGGGGAAUAUUGCACAAUGGGCGGAAGCCUGAUGCAGCAACGCCGCGUGCGGGAUGACGGCCUUCGGGUUGUAAACCGCUUUCGCCUGUGACGAAGCGUGAGUGACGGUAAUGGGUAAAGAAGCACCGGCUAACUACGUG